rnacentral:rRNA from 1 species
UACGUAGGGUGCAGGCGUUAAUCGGAAUUACUGGGCGUAAAGCGUGCGCAGGCGGUUUCUUAAGUCAGAUGUGAAAGCCCCGGGCUUAACCUGGGAACUGCGUUUGAAACUGGGAGACUUGAGUGUGGCAGAGGGGGGUGGAAUUCCACGUGUAGCAGUGAAAUGCGUAGAUAUGACAUAGAACACCCAUUGCGAAGGCAGCUUACUACACGAUCAUUGACGCUGAGGCACGAAAGCGUGGGGAGCAAACAGG